ACAUGCAAGUCGAAACGCGUGUAGCAAUAACACGAGUGGCGCACGGGGUGAGUAAACGGCGUGGAUAUCUGCCUUUUGGUUCGGAAUAACCCCGGGAAACUGGGGCUAAUACCGGAUGGUUCCUUCGGGAUAAAGAUUUAUCGCCAAAAGAUGAGUCCGCGUACGAUUAGCUAGUUGGUGAGGUAAUGGCUCACCAAGGCGACGAUCGUUAGCUGGUCUGAGAGGACGAUCAGCCACACUGGGACUGAGACGCGGCCCAGACUCCUACGGGAGGCAGCAGUGGGGAAUAUUGGACAAUGGGGGCAACCCUGAUCCAGCCAUGCCGCGUGAGUGGUGAAGGCCUUCGGGUUGUAAAGCUCUUUUGGCGGGGACGAUGAUGACGGUACCCGCAGAAUAAGCCC
rnacentral:rRNA from 1 species